rfam:Brachypodium distachyon strain Bd21 chromosome 2, whole genome shotgun sequence.
UUAAUACUUCCUUCGUCCAACAAAGGAUGUUUCAACUUUGACCAAAUUUGAAUGCAUCUAUACACUAAGUCAUAUAUAGAUACAUUCAAAUUUUGACAAACUUGAAACAUCUUUUGUUGGACGGAGAAAUAUUCA